GUGUUCACUUCGGCAGCACAUAUACUAAAAUUGGAAAGAUACAGAGAUUAGCAUGGCCCCUGAGCAAGGAUGACACACAAAUUCGUGAAGCAUUCCAUAUUUAA
ensembl:snRNA U6 U6 spliceosomal RNA